rnacentral:rRNA from 1 species
CCCUUAGAUGAUUUGGGCUGCACGCGCGCUACACUGACCCUAACAAUGAGCAACUGUCUGGCCUGAGAUGGCUGGGUAGCCUUUUCAACCCAUGUCAUGAUUGGGCUAGAUUUUUGUAAGUCUUGAUCUCUAACGAGGAAUCCCUAGUAUGCGUAAAUCAUCAAUCCAUGCAGAUUAUGUCCCUGCCCUUUGUACACACCGCCCGUCGCUCCUACUGAUUGGGUGAUCCGGUGAGCUGUUCGGCCAUAGCAAUGUUUCUUGAGCAGGGCAAUGAAUGUUUCGCAAACCUUGCCACUUAGAGGAAGGAGAAGUCGUAACA